UUUAUCUUUGAUUUUAUCAAAUUGGGCUUGUACUAGUGGGCUACCCAAGCCCGGUUGUUAUUUUACUCUAUAUAGGGUUGUACGGUUAUGUUUUGGAGGGGUUGAACGUUGAAUUGAUCGUGGCUGCUACCCAUUUUCUCUCCUUUUCUUUUGUGUUCUUCCUUCUUCUGUGUUCUGCGUUAUCCCCUCUAUGGUAAGCUUCUUCUCCUGCUUACUCUUCUUCUCGAUUCUUCCUCUGCUCUUCUUCUACUCUUAAUCUUCUCUCCAAUUCUCUGUCUCUUCUUCCUCACCUAAAAUUGUUACUUGUAAUCCAUUGCAUUGUAAGACAAUCAUCAAUUAAGGGAAUGAAUGUGUCGAUUUUGGUUGGCGAUUAACUAGUUCUUGUUAGUAAUUCAAUUUAUGUUCCUCAAUUUGGCUGAUUGCAAUUUAUAUUCAGAAUCUUGUGUUUUUAUUGUUAGUUAUUUCAGGUUGUGUUCUUUAAUUUGGAUAAUUACAAUAUCUUGAAUUUAUAGCUGCUAGUUAUUUGGUUUAGCUUGGUUGGAAAAUUAAUUGGUUUUAGUUGAAGUUGGGCUCCAACCAUAACAUUUAUGCGAUGAAACCCUUGUUCUUUUUGUGAUUUCUCUAGACGUUUUGAAUAAUUGAUUUCCAUUGUUUGUGAACCCUCAUUCUCUACGUGAUUUUUGUCGAUGCCAUUAUACUCACUACAAAUUGAGGACAAAUCUGUUUGACACAUAAAUUUUGAGAUCUGUUUUCUAAGUUGAUUUACGUUUUUCUUCUCUUCUUUUAUAACUCCUGGGUUAUUUGAGCUUAUUGCCUUUUUUGCCUUCUUUCAGCUCUUCAUUAUUGGGUUAAAUUAUGGUUUUCAAAGAAUUAGUUCUUCUACCCAAAAGUAGAAUCUCCUUCUUUAUGCAGUCCAAACUCGUAUUCUCGAGUUUUGAAGAUUUUACUUAUUCUAUUAAUACUUAGUGGGAUGAAAGCAAUUGAAGUUUUCAAUGUAGUAUAGAGCCAAAUUGAUGCCUUUAAUCAGUUUUAAAGUCUUGUAAUUUAACAGAUUAAAUACAUAACCGUUACUGAAAAUUUGUUGCCUUAUCUCCUAGGCAAGACCCUGGUUUUGGCAGAAUCUUAAUUGAAUCACUUAAUGGAAAUUGGAUUCUAAUUGAUUAAGAAGAGGUAUGGUCAUGUUUGUUUACCCUUUCUUUCAUUUCUUUCUUUUCUGGCCCUAUAUAUGUGUGUGUGUGUGUGUGUGUGUGUGUGUGUGUGUGUGUGUGUGUGUAUUUGUAUGCCUUUCCUCAUUUUGUGGCCUUCAUAUAUUCACUCAUUUCCUUCAUGUAGGAAUUUGAUAUUCUUUUCACAUCGUCCUUUGACAUGCGCAGCAUGAAUGGUGGAUUGUAAUGGGAUGUGAUCCAAAAAAUACUAGAUAGAGCUACCACAAUGGAGGAUCAUAGCCAGGUAUCUUUUAGAUUAUUUUGGUGCAAUGAACUAGCCUGCAAACUGUAACAUGGGAAAACUAUUUGGCCUCUUUUCAAGGAGAAAGAUAAAUAAAUGGAAACUUAAUAAUUGCAAUUGUUUACUUUUAGUUGUUUUUAUUUCUAUGUUAUUUGAGAAAUCAUUGAUAUUAAGCCGUACAACAGCAUAAUUGAUUGCUGAAGAUUUUUUAGUGUUAGUUCCCUUACUUUGAGUAAUAAGAGCCAUCACUAUAGAGGAUUCUCAAUAAUAUUUGAAGACUGAUACGUUUCUAAUUCAGUUUUUACUAAGCAAACUAUAUUUACUACAUAUCUUGAAGUUUUCCAAAUGAUUCUUAGAAUAAUUUCAAUCUCUUUCUUCUAUUGUGUUAAGCUCUUUUUUAUAUUUAGGGUCUGUUUGAUUGCAAAAAUAGAAAAGGCAAACCAAUUCGAUGUAAGUUGUAAAAGAAAAUUACACCAAAACCAUAAGAAAGCAUUUUCCAUUCAAUUGGCCAAAAACAUGCUUUAGUGUUUGUACAUUGAAAUCCAAACUCCAUUUCCACUUUCUUAUCAAACAACCAAAGUAGAAAACGACAUUUUCCAUGGAAUUUCUUCCAAUCAAACGGACCCUUAGUUUAAUUAUAUUAGGUGCGGUGCUUCCAUGGCUACUCACAAUAGCGUGUUCAAAGACGGGGGGCUCUCAGUCUGCUAGAUGGCCAUUGAACUUGCUGAAUCCAGGUUGUGAAAAAAUUGAGGCCAAAAUUAAAGUUGAACCCUUGGUAGUUUUGUAUUCAAUUUUUUGGGAAAAUAAUUGUGAGAACUUACAACAGGGGACCAUUUAAAGCAAAGUGAAGUACAAAAGUUCCUAAAUUAGCAAUGAUACAUUUUAAUAAAUUGCUACGUUGAUUACAUGAAGGGCUUUAUGAAUUUCCGAUUGGUUGAGAUCUGCAUGAAAAGCUACAGAUAUGCUUCUAAGCAGGCGUUAUACUUUUUAUCAAAAAGUAGGCAGUGCAUAGAUGAAUAUGCCAUUGAUUGUCAUUAACCUUAGUACCUUACUGAGCAAAAUUUUCAAUUAAUUGGGUAACAUUUAUAUGAAUACUGUGUCUACCAGAAAUAUUAUCUUUCAAUUCAAUUUAAUGGUAUGUUGGGAAUCUAUUGCAUUUGUAAAGGGAUAUUGCCUUGAACUAGUUUACAUGUUGAGUUCUGUUUAGCUAAGAUACCACCAUUAGCAUCUUUUUCUUCCUUUCAUUUAUCUUGAGAUUGUUCUCCUUAUUAACAUAGUUAUCUUGUCCAAUGUAUUCAAGCAAAAACCUUCAUGCUAUGUUUUUAGUUCUUUUGAUAUUAUUUCUAUGCAGUUGAUGGAUAAAUCUGCUGCUAUUGUUGUAUAUAUGCUUUUGUUUGUUUUGCAAGAUUCAUUUACUCAUCAAAAGAAGUCAAAGGCAACAAUCUGGCUAGGAAGAGGUUAGAUCUCUGUUUCUGGUCUUAGUUUCACUUUAGUUACUUUUUCUUUUUGUGUUGAUGUCUUCUUAUUUGAUUGUUAACAUACGACUUUUGAGGCUUUCAUCAUUUUACUCGAAGAAAACAAACUCUAAUAGUAUCUGAAAUCAUUAGUAAACUAGCAAUGCUCAACCAUAUAUAUGCAUAUUAAAUUUGUUAAUGCAAUAGAGUUUUCCCAAGCUAUUGAAAUCAUUGAUUCCUUUUAUGAUUUUUGUUUGGUGAGCUAUUUGUUUAAAGAUUAAUACUUUAUUAUUAAUUUUUUAUAAAGUUUUUUAGAGUCUUAUAUACGAAUGAUUUAUGAAGAAAUUAUUUAUAGGCAUAUUGGGCUGCAUUUCUAUGAUGAGUAGAAUCAGUACUUGUACUUGAAUCUUGCUAAUGUUGAUUUACAUUGUGGAAUUAGCGAUUUCUUUUACGCCUACAAAAAUAUGCCUUUUGUUGCCUGAAUGAUUAGAGAAAGAAAUAUUGGAAUAGAAACAUAGUUAACUUGCCAAUAGCAGCUAUUUUACAAUUUUGUAUCCCAGAAAUAACAACUGGGCACUUUAGUUAUCUUCUGUAAUAGAAUUUUAUACCUUAAAAGUUUGUGUACAUGAUCAUGGAAAUUCAAGUGACCCAAUAUUUUGUAAAUGACCAAUAAAUAAACGAAUUUGAAUUCAUUGCCUUUCACUGGCUGCAAUUGAUGUGAGUGCUUCAUUUGAUAUUUGUGAUUGAUAGAUUUUGAAGAAUACUAUGAUACUAGAGGCUCCCUUGUUUAAACCUGAGCCUCCUUUGUAAGGUUUAUUCUUCCACUAUUGGUUAUUUCAUAAUUUUGUAUUUUUAUUUAUUUGAAAGUUCUUAUAAAAGUUAAGUUUGCAAGUCUUUUGCAGCAACAUUUCUAGAAUAGUUCCUUGUACUUCUACUUCUACCUUUCUAUAUAUAUACUAGUCAUCACCACGUGCAUUGCACGAGUUUUGUAUUUAUUCAAUUUCUAUUCGUGUAAAAAUUGUAGAUUUUUUGAAUUCUAGUUAAGGAAUUGGAGAUGUAAACAUUUAUGGUUGAAAAGAAGAAGAAACGCUAAUAUAUAUACAAAAAGAAAAGAUAACACAUUUACAUCAAUUUUCGCACAAUAUAACAAAAAAUUUGUAACAUAUUAUAUGCUUCACAAUAUACUCUAUCGCAAUUAACAAAUUAAAACACUAGAGGUUAAUGAAUAUUCCAUCUGAGUUCUAAAUGCUACAAAAAUGAUUUCGAGAUUUUAGUUUGCAGAUAAUACCUCAAGAAUUGAAGUAAACUUUCUUAAGCAAAAAGAAAAAAAAAUAAAAAAUAAAAAUUUGCACGGCAAUGCUCCGUUGCUCUGCACUCCAAACUCUCCAGACCCAGAGAGUUUGGAAAUGUUUCUCCAAACUCUCCAGAUGGUUGACUUUCUUAAGGAAAAAUAAAAAUAAAAAUUUGCAGAGCUGCUCCAUACAAGGUGGGAGCAACCGCACUCCAAACUCUCCAGAGAGUUUGGCGGAACACCUCCAAACUCUUGGCUCCGCACAAAGUGCAGAGUAGUGCGCACACAGUGAUUUUUUUUGUUUAUUCUUCUUUUUUUUCUUUAGAUUAUCAUAUUUUUUUACCAAUGUCGAGCUAUCUCCAACAGUGCGCACACAUUGGUUUUUUUUUGUUUAUUCUUCAUUUUUUUCCCUUUUUUUGGAUUAUCAUAUUUUUUUCACCAAUGUCGAGCUAUCUCCAACAGUGCGCACACAGUGAUUUUUUUUUGUUUAUUCUUCCUUUUUUUCUUUAGAUUAUCAUAUUUUUUUACCAAUGUCGAGCUAUCUCCAACAGUGCGCACACAUUGGUUUUUUUUUGUUUAUUCUUCAUUUUUUUCCCUUUUUUUUGGAUUAUCAUAUUUUUUUCACCAAUGUCGAGCUAUCUCCAAACUCUCUGCUCCGCUUGCUCCACACAGUUUUUUUUUUCUUUUUUUCUUUUUUUUUUUUUUUUGGAUUACCAUAUUUUUCAGCAAUGUCGAGGUAUUUAACUAUAUACUUAUAUUGACUAACCUCCAAGAUAACAUCAAUGAGUUAAAGCAGCAGCAUAAUCAAGAGAAAUCAACGUUAUUUACCUUUCAACAACAGAAAUGAAAAUAAAAAAAUCAAACAUCAUUAAAAAUUCAAAAUCAGAACUCACCAACUUGAAUGGCUGAAGAUGUGAGCUUUUUUCCAACCCAAGUAAUCCAUUAGAACUACUUCAUCUUUUGCCAUAAUUCUUGUCUUGCAUCAUAAAACAAAAUAAAAUCCUUAAUCUUUCAGAACGAUUAAAAUGAAAUGAUAAUAAAAAAAAAAAACUGACCUAGAACCACAUAAUAAAAUCAAACUAACAUACAUUCAAUUCAUAGCAAAGUUCUAUAUUUACUUACCAAAAACCCUUGUUUUCAGUAAUUUAGAUUCAAACAUCUAUAAAAAGAAAACAAAAAUAGGGAAAGCGAGGGAAAAAAAUUGCUAUCGUAAAAAGGAAAAAAAAUUGCAAAUGUCGCAUGGAGACUCCGCAGUAGAGAAUUUUUUUUUUAUUUUUUUAAGCUAGCAAUAGAAUGGUUGCAGAUGAAAGUACUAAUGAAAAAAAAUAUAUAUAUCACAGUUAUGAAAUAAUAAAUGUGAACCAACCAUAAAAUUAGCAAGACUAAAUGCUCCGUAUUCCAACAAAAAUAAAAUCACCAAAUUAGCAUCAAUUUACCCAACUAAACUAAUAUCAUGCUAAGGCAAUACUUUUCACGAAAAUAAUUAAUUAUAAAGCCUAAACAAGAAACACAUCCACACGCAAAUGAUAAUUAUUUUAGCAUAGAAAAUCAACUUUCCAUAGAGACAGAUGAUUAUAGGAAGAUGAAAGCUAGCAAGGACAAUCGAGAGAAAGUUGAAAAAAAUACACAUAUCUAAAUAAAAUUCAUUAAUGAAAAAACAGAAGAGAGAGAAAUUGACAAAAGCCGAAAACUACCUCUGCAAAACAAAGAAAUCGAAUUCAUUCAACUUUACAACAAAAUAAAAUAUGCAUUUUCAAUAUGUUAGGUCUAAAAGUGUAAUUGGCGAUUCUGUAGACAAAACGGACUAAAUUGUAUAAUUGUAAAAGUCAGGGACUUAAUUGAACGUUGGUGUAAAAGUCAAGGACUUAGGGUGCAAUUUGUAUAGAUGAGGUAAAUUAGUGUUUGAGUGUUGAAGGAGUCCAUGAUGUCUAAGAAGAUCAGACAAGAUCAUCGGAAUGCAAUUGGAAGUCUAAAGGACAUCAAAGAGGCGCACAAAUUAUGUUCCGGAUUUUCAGUCAUAACGUGAAAUGUAUUUUUCACAUAGAAAACGUUGAAAUUUGGAUAAGGAUAUUUCUAGAAUAAUUGUAGCCCUUUGAGUUAGCUUUCCAACUCGACUUAAAUCACCUCAAUCGGACAUCGGACGAAAAAGUUAUGAUGAUAAUACUGAUAACUGCUCACUGUCACUCGCUUCUCGUUGGCAUUUUGCUCGAGCGAUAAAAAUAGAAUACCUCUCGCUCGCUUCCCGCUAGCUCUCGCUUGAGCGACAGUCCUAUGCGGCCAAAACCCUACUUCGCAUUUUUGAAGUGUUUUACUCGACCCAUACCACAUAGACACCUUCAAGUAUAAAUACUCAAGCCUUAGGACGAAAUUUCAGAGAUUGCCACAUUAUUCUUUGAGUGCAUAACAUCUUCAUAUCUUUGUUCAAGGGAUCUAAGGCAAAAUCAAUUGGAGAAUUCAUCUACAUAAUUCUUUAGAUCUGGCAAUCAUUGUUUUGGGGGAAAAACAUCGAAUCUACACAAUCCAAAAUACUUACUUCCUUAAUCUAUUGAAGAAGGGACUCUCUCAUUGGAGGAUUGAGAGAGGUGGAUUGAGGUGCAGUUACAGGCAUAAGAACAAGCGGUUCUUGGUGUUCCACUUGGUGAUACAAUCAGCUAAGGACCAGGAGGUUGUAGUGGACAGCAGAUUUGGCUGCAGGAGGUAGAUCGAGAAGUCUAGCAAGAGGCUAGAAGUAUCUACAGCAGUAGAUCGUGAGACUGGAACAAUGGGUCUGAUUGGGUACGGAGUUUGGUAUAACUUGUACUUGCUGAAUUGGUAUAGUGGAGGUAAUUGGCUUGGUCCCGGAGUUUUACCCACUUUGGGGUUUCUCCAUCAUCAUAUUGUUUGUUAUUUAUUGCUUUGCAUAAUAUACAAACUACGGCAUUCCAACAUAGGUUAAUUGACUUGUAUGAUUAAUCACGUAGACAACUAAUUAAAGUGACUUGUUGCUUUAGUUAGAUUAAUUCCGCACGUAAGGUCAAAUUGGUUAAAGUGAAAUCUAGAACGUAUACUUGUAAACGCUAAAAUUUGAAUUUGACAUUGUAUAGCGUUCCCGUGAACUUUCAAGUGUUGUAGAGCAUUCCUAGAAUUUUCAAAUGGUGUUAGAGCCUAAAAUCGUGUCCUGACCUUAAAUAGUCUAGAUGAGUACCUCGUUGAAUGUGCUGCCCCACUUUGAUGGUAGUAACUAUGCAACUGGAAGGUUAGAAUGAGGGCAUUUUUGAAAUCCAUGGAUGAGCGUGUCUGGCAGAGCGUAGUGAAUGGUUGGUCUGCCCCUAGUACAACAGUAGAUGGUGUAGUCACUCCCACCCCCGUAGAAAACUAGUCUAGAGCCCAAUUGGAUAGCUGUAACUUUAAUAGCAAGGCCAUACAUGCAUUGUUUAUGGUUGUGUCCUCUGAGGAAUUUAGAAGAGUAUCUAUGUGUGAGGUAGCUAAGGAUGUUUGGGACAUUUUACAAACUACACAUGGGAGAAUCCAGGCCGUUAAAAAUUCUAAGUUGCAGAUGUUGGCCACUAGGUUUGAAGAGAUAGGAAUGAGAGACGAUGAGAUGUUUGAUGUCUUUUAUGCAAGCUUAAAUGACAUAGUAAAUUCGUCAUUCAACCUAGGUGAGAAAAUCCCUGAGCCUAAGAUAGUGAGAAAGAUUCUUAGAUCCUUACCUGAGCGUUUUAGGCCUAAAGCCACGGCAAUUGAGGAAAGUAAGGACAUAGAGACUAUCAAGGUAGUGGAGUUAGUUGGAUCCCUCCAGACCUAUGAAUUGACCUUAGACAAUCUAGCUAAGAAAAAAUCCAUAGCCUUAAAAAUCGCUAGGAAUAUCCAGAUGGAAUCUUCUGAUUCUGAUUCACCCAAUGAUGAGGAGAUGGCCUACCUAACUAAAAAAUUCCAAAAAAUUUUUAGGAAUAAGAAGAAGCCUCAAGAGAGGCAAAAAGGUGGCUCGAAUGAAUAUAGGAAGAAAUCCAAAUUCGUGAGAUGCCAUAACUGUCGCGAUUUCGGUCAUGUAAGGAAUGAGUGCCCUAGUGCUAAGAGAUUUGAAGAGAAGGCUAUGAAUACUACUCUCACUGAUGACGAGUUUAGCUCGAACAAUCAGAGUGAGAAAUCCACCCGUGAGGAGAGUGGAAAUAUGUGGCCUUCGUUGCUAGGGGUAAAAAUGGAUCCGAACAGGGAAGUAAUAGGGAAGAGGACUUAGAUAGUAGUGAAGAAUCUGGUGAUGACAGUGGAAGUGAGCAAGAUAUAGAAACAGCCUAUGAUAGGAUGUAUGAGGAAAGCCUCAAGAUCUUAGCCAAUAACCAGGCAAUGAGCAAGAAAGUGAAGGAGCUUAGACUAGAGAAGGAACAGUUAGAGACCCGGGUUAGUGAUCUCACCAGUAAGAAUGAGAUGUCCUCUAGGAGAUUAAGUGAGCUGACCAUUGUGAAUGAGACCUUAACUAUUCAGGUUAACCACCUUGAGAGUGAGCUAGAGUUGUCUAGGUCUCAGUUACUUACCUUUUCUAGCAGUUCUGAACAACUAGAUAAUAUUCUAGGUAUAGGCAAGUCGGCUGGCUAUAGGGAAGGUCUAGAUUUUGAUUUGAAUGUUGCUAGUACAUCACAGACCACCUUUGUUUGUGCUACUGACCAGCCAAACAUUGUGACUAACCACAUACCAAAUAUUGUGGGAUCUUCAAGACGUAUGUCUACUAGACGUCGUAGGACCCGUCAGCCUAGAAAUAGAAAUCAACAUAAGCAUAUCAUAGGUCAUAGGUUUGCCCCUACAUAUUUUCAUUGUGGGGAGUUAUGUCACAUCCGCCUUAGAUGUCAUCAGUACCCAAAUAAUAGGAAAGACUUGAGCCUGAAAAAGAACAAAAAUCAGGUAUUUGUUGGUCAGAUUGGAUUCGUUGCUGAUCAAGUUAAUCGUUUGACUCAAUUGGUAACACAGCUGUCUGAAACAAUCCCCGUACUUGACAGAUUUGGGUGAAGAAAAGCGAUCUCCCAAAUUUGCUUAAAGAUCGCGAUGCUCUUAAAGGAAAGAACAUUUAUAUACCUACUUGAUUAGGUAUUUUUGAUGCAUACUUGGUUCUUGAUUGAUAUAUAUAAUUAUUGCAUGCAUCACGUGUAUAUUAUUUUUUUUGUUUUGUUGUUUUUCAUGCAUGUACAUUUUCACCUACGAGUUUGGUGCAUGCAUAUUUAUUUUUGUCUUUGUAUGCUUUACUUUAUUUUAUUUUGUGUGUGGAGCAUUCAUUUUAGGAAAAACGAAAAACACAAAAACGUUGAAAAAUUGAAAAAGACAAAAAUAAUUGGUUAUGGAAAUUUUUACAGCAUGACACAUGACUUAGAGCUUACACGUUGUAUCAUGUAGGAGCUAAAAUUGAUAAGCUGUAGAAUAAUUUUCAUUGCUUGGUUAGGUCUAGUUAGAUUAAUAUGUGUAAGUGUCUUCAUAUACCAUCUGCACUGCACACACUAUGAAUUUGUUAGUAGGACGCUACCGCGUGUGUAAGAUUUGGGAUGGUUGUCACAUGUUGAUGGGGUGACUUUGAAUAUGAAUUGACCAAUUUCCGUAGGCCUUAACCCAAAAAUUUUCCCCAAUUUUAAAUGCUCAUAUCUUAAUGUUCUUCUUCGGGGCCUAUUUGAUUCGAACAAUUAAGCUUGCGGGGUCUCUUAAAACCCGGUACCUAUGGUCAACUGACUUGGGUUAACCGGCUUAAAGCUCGCUAUAGGGGUCAUCUUAGUCGUCUAAUGGAGAAGAGUCUGCACUUAAGAUGAAAAAUUAAUGAGCUGGAGAAAUGAGAAAAAUAUGAUGAACUAAAAUACUUUGAAAAAUUGAAAAACCAACAAGCUCAUGGUAAGGGGGAGAUAAGUAAAAAUAAUAAGUAUAGGUCCUACUAUACGUUAUAUGGUUUGACUCUCAUUAGUAGGAGAACAUACUUAUUAGCAGUGAUUGACAUGUCCCUUCUCACAAAAUUGAGGUUUGGAGUCCUGCUUGCAUUGGAUCAGUGACACUUUACACACGAGUCAUUUAUAUUAUUACUCCAUUCUGGACUGAAUUAAGUAUGUGGGGAGUUAUACUACUUGUUGAUUUUGCUUUUACAUGCUAUCAAUUGCAUUUUUUAUUAUUAUGUGUUAUUGCUCGACUUGGCCUUAAUGUAUCUCCCUUCAGCAUUUGUGACAAAAAGGGGGAGAGAAAUGUGUAACUGAGGGGGAGAAAAAUUGUGACUGAGGGGGAGAAGAAAAAAUAAUGAUUAAGCAUACACAUAUACACAUAGGAGAGCUACUGCAUUCCAUAUCAAAUCCAUCUAUUUGAGUUUUGAUGUUUAGUGGUGUUGGUGUCUUGGUUGGUGUUUUGAUUGGCAUCAAUAUCAUGUCUCAAACUGUUAUGUUGAUUUGUGAUUAAGAGCUUUAAUUAAUUUUUAUAUUUCCUGUAUCACGUGCUUUUACACUGGGUAUAUGAGUUUGUGGAUUUCAGGAAUCAGGUACAUGAAGGAAUGCAAGACUCAGUGAUUGGGUUUAUUGGGUAGUUUAGUUUUUGGUUGUCAAGUCCUGAUUUAUUUUUUAUUGUCCUGACUUCAUUUGUAGAGUUUUGUCACAGAAUGCCAAAGGAGGAGUUUGUUAGGUUUAAAAGUGUAAUUGGCGAUUCUGUAGACAAAACGGACUAAAUUGUAUAAUUAUAAAAGUCAGAGACUUAAUUGAACAUUGGUGUAAGUCAGGGACUUAGGGUGCAAUUUGUAUAGAUGAGGUAAAUUAGUGUUCGAGUCGUUGAAGGAGUCCAUGAUGUCCAAGAAGAAAAGACAAGAUCAUCAGAAUACAAUUGGAAAUCUAAAGGAUAUCAAAGAGCAGCACAAAUUAUGUUCCGGAUUUUCAGUUAUAACUUGAAAUGCAUUUUUCACAUAGACAACGUUGGAAUUUGGACAAGGAUAUUUCUAGAAGAAUUG
rnacentral:lncRNA from 1 species